UCACUGCUACGGAUAGCACUGAGUACGUACGCGAUAAUUUACACUUACUUUAACUGUUUUGAAUUGUUUAUGUGUUUAUAAGCAUUUAGUGACAAUAUUUUCGAGUGUUUAUCUAUCCAUUAGUGAUUUUUUUAUUCAUUAAAAACUUCACCAGUGUUUGCAAAAUGCAUGGAUGUGUUUUGUACCCUCUGAGAGGACCAUUCUUUGGUCCUCAUCCGGAACCACCCUCAGCAGAAUCCGGCCCUGAACACCAAAGGUCGGAAGUUUGUUCGCGAUGUAGAGAUCCAAGCCCCAGUGGACGUGAACAUCACUGUGGACCUCGCCAUGGACCACGAGGGCCUCAACAUGAUCCACGUGGGCAUUUUCACGAGCCACAUAGGACUCACCACUGGCAACAUAGGCCUCACCAUGGCCCACAUAGGCCUCAUCACGGGCCUCAUCGGCCGCAUCACGGACCAUUUAGAUAUGAUUUUGGGCCUUGUCACGGCCCACAUAACGAUUUCCAUGAUUCUGGACGUCCAUUUUGUUGUGACCACCGAAAUCCUUUCGAGAGACCUGAGAACGAAGAAGCACAUAACCCGCGAUCAGAUUUCCCUGGUCGCUUUUUCCCUUUCCAUUUCUUUGGCCUAAAUCACCACGGUCCAUGGGGUCGUCGUGGGAGACCUUUUGAUCGGUUCGGUCCCUUCGGCAGACCAAACCCUUAUGAUCGAUUUGAUAGACAUUGUUGUAGAGGAUGUGGAACAAGGAGUGACUGUUGCGAUGACGUGAGGCGUGAUCCAAAGUCUUCUUGUAAGAAGAAUAAGUCUGAUAGAUGCCAAAGACGGAAAGGUUGUAGGAAUGAAGAUAAGAAUACUGAUGCAGAUCCGGAGACGGUUCUUGUACAGAAUAUAAUAGUCGAAACGGCGCCAAGGAGUUAUUCCGUAUAAGAAAGAAGAAAAUGCAUUUAUUUCAUUGCGUAGUUUUAAAUAAAUAACUAUUAUUGUCUUAAUA